rnacentral:rRNA from 1 species
CUUGGUCAUUUAGAGGAAGUAAAAGUCGUAACAAGGUUUCCGUAGGUGAACCUGCGGAAGGAUCAUUAGAGAAAAGAGAAAAGAAAUGACACACUGAUGGCAGAUUAGCUCGCACGAUGAGACGCGUUGAGAGCUAAAGGGUCGCGGAAGCGACUGGAAAGAUGAAUUUAAUAUAUAUUCACAAGCACACAAACAUACAAAAGAUAUAUGAGCACCUUGCCGCAAUGGAUCUCUCGGCUCUUGCAUCGAAGAAGAACGCAGUCCAUUGCGAAAAGUCAUGCGACCUGCACUCUUUGAGAAGCAUAACUCUUUGAACGCACCUUGCGCGCAUCAACCCAGUUGGUGCGAGGUCCUGUUUGAGCAAGACGAAGAAAUAAGAAAUGGCGGCUAUUGACGAGAAACACAAACGCGUGAAUCACAAAGACGUGAAUGGCGGCUCAAAGGCAAGCGGGAGCCCGAACGACUCUAAGGCAGCGAGACGAGUAGCGCGACAAGCACCACUACGCACAUUGCACCCGCACAUUUACUCGUGGUUGGGCAAGCCUUUACUCGUGGUUGGGCAAGCCCAACAACCCAAGCAAAAAGCACUCUACACGGGUAGGGUAGCAAUGAGGGUAAAACAACUUGUGGCUCUUCUCAAAUCAGGAUAGAGGACCCGCUGAACUUAAGCAUAUCAGUAAGCGGAGGAAAAGAAACUAACGAGGAUUCCCCCAGUAACGGCGAGUGAAGCGGGAGCAGCCCAUGACGGAAUCAUUCAGUAUUCAGUAGUGAAUGAGAUGUGUCGUGGAGAGGGCAGAGCGUGGACGGACAGUCGGCAUGUUCCCUGGAAAGGGACGGCAGAGAGGGUGAGACCCCCGUGGCCUUCCAGUCUAACGCAGAGACUCUGACCCCAGCGAGUCGGAUUGUUUGGGAAUGCAAUCCCAAUUGGGUGGUACGCGCCAUCUAAGGCUAAACAAGGGCAAGAGACCGAUAGCAAACAAGUACCGUGAGGGAAAGAUGAAAAGGACUCUGAAGAGAGAGUCAAAAGUGCGUGAAAUUGCGGCAAGGGAAACGAACGCGAGGAUGAGAGAGUGGGGGAUUGUUUUGCAUUCUUGCUUGUGGCGGAGGUGGCAGCCAACACUGCACGUACAGCGACAUGAGACAAGGGAGACAAAACAAACCCGCACGCAGCCUCUUGUUUGACCCGUCUUGAAACACGGACC